rnacentral:rRNA from 1 species
CGGCGGACGGGUGAGUAACACGUGGAUAACCUACCUAUAAGACUGGGGUAACUUCGGGAAACCGGAGCUAAUACCGGAUAAUAUUUUUAACCGCAUGGUUCAAAAGUGAAAGACGGUCUUGCUGUCACUUAUAGAUGGAUCCGCGCUGCAUUAGCUAGUUGGUAAGGUAACGGCUUACCAAGGCAACGAUGCAUAGCCGACCUGAGAGGGUGAUCGGCCACACUGGAACUGAGACACGGUCCAG